AGAGUUUGAUUCUGGCUCAGAAUGAACGCCGGCGGUGUGCCUAAUACAUGCAAGUCGUACGCACUGGCCCAACUGAUUGAUGGUGCUUGCACCUGAUUGACGAUGGAUCACCAGUGAGUGGCGGACGGGUGAGUAACACGUAGGUAACCUGCCCCGGAGCGGGGGAUAACAUUUGGAAACAGAUGCUAAUACCGCAUAACAACAAAAGCCACAUGGCUUUUGUUUGAAAGGUGGCCUUGGCUAUCACUCUGGGAUGGACCUGCGGUGCAUUAGCUAGUUGGUAAGGUAACGGCUUACCAAGGCGAUGAUGCAUAGCCGAGUUGAGAGACUGAUCGGCCACAAUGGAACUGAGACACGGUCCAUACUCCUACGGGAGGCAGCAGUAGGGAAUCUUCCACAAUGGGCGCAAGCCUGAUGGAGCAACACCGCGUGAGUGAAGAAGGGUUUCGGCUCGUAAAGCUCUGUUGUUGGAGAAGAACGUGCGUGAGAGUAACUGUUCACGCAGUGACGGUAUCCAACCAGAAAGUCACGGCUAACUACGUGCCAGCAGCCGCGGUAAUACGUAGGUGGCAAGCGUUAUCCGGAUUUAUUGGGCGUAAAGCGAGCGCAGGCGGUUGCUUAGGUCUGAUGUGAAAGCCUUCGGCUUAACCGAAGAAGUGCAUCGGAAACCGGGCGACUUGAGUGCAGAAGAGGACAGUGGAACUCCAUGUGUAGCGGUGGAAUGCGUAGAUAUAUGGAAGAACACCAGUGGCGAAGGCAGCUUACUGGACGGUAACUGACGCUGAGGCUCGAAAGCGUGGGGAGCAAACAGGAUUAGAUACCCUGGUAGUCCACGCUGUAAACGAUGAAUACUAGGUGUCGGGGUACAUAAGUACCUCGGUGCCGCAGCUAACGCAAUAAG
rnacentral:rRNA from 1 species